GUGAGUAUCGGAAUAAACUUUGCUAUAACAGUUUAUAUGGAUAAUCCAACUUCAUCUUUCUGAGACAGCAGCAGCAAAUCAAAGCAGAAUUUGCGUCACUGUAUUUUUAAUUGUAGACUUUUGGAUACUCUAAAAAUGCUUCCUGAUGAACGCAGUAAUUAAACAUUUGCAAUUAACUUAUUCUUUUGCUGAGUACCAUCCCAGUACUGUGAUGUAAUUCAUUUGUGCUUUUUGACCUUAAGGAAACUUUGGCAGAUGAAGCCAUGAGAUGUAUUCUCACAGAUCUGCCCUGUUACCUAAUGUUGCCUAAUGCUGCGUUAGAGGAGUGUGAAAAUAAUUUACAUAUAAAUAUAAAAUCAAUUCUAUACAAAGCACUCUGAACAAAUGUGCUCUACUGUAUGCUCUAAAAAAAAACCUAAACAACAUUUUGUUUGGCUGGAAAUGCUUUGAUAAACAGCAGGUCUCAUUGAGUGCAACACUGAAAUGCUCUAAUGAAUUCUUAAUGCCUUAAGUUGUCUAACUGGAUCUUAUUACAAAGAAGCUGAAGACACAGAAGCAUGAUGUUUCCUCCACUGGCACAUUUAAGAAAUCAACAGAGACAUGCCAAAAAAAUGUUCUGCUUUCAAAACAAGGCUCCAAGACUGUAGUGGGGGGGGAGAAAAAAAAGGAAAAAAAAAGUGGUUUGUCGUGGUUUCUAGAAUUAAACUAUUGCUGUUGAUAUAAACCCAUAUUACCAUUUCCUCAAGCUGACUUCACUUUGUUCUGCAUUCUACCUCUCUGUUGGUAUGAUAUUGCAUCUCCGACUGGCUGGCAGAUGGCAGAAACUGAUCAGUUUUGGCGACAAGCUAAAGGUCAGAGAACUCUAAUUGCACAAACAGUAGAAGGAAAAUUCUCCUAUUAAAUUAAAGGUGCAAUUUCCCUGUGAAGUUACAACACAGUUUUCAAUACAAGGGUGUGCUUCAUUGACAUCUGUUGUUGCACAGGUCUACAGAGUGCACAAGUCUUUCUAUUCUGUUCAAUAACAUGUACUGAUUAAUGAGAUUGAAGAGAAUGUUCACCUUAAUUUUUGUUUCUCCAGUACAGUACAUUGCAUUAUUAAUGCAAUCUGUGUGUCACAGGUUAUAAACACAGCAUGAAGUUCUUUGCAAGAGGAACAGAGGAAUAAAUGCUAAGGACUCCUCAAGCUUUCUGUUUUUUGCCUGGCAACCCAUCCAUUGGGCUUUCAGAAGCCUCUCAGCUUGCCUGGAGGCUUCUAUUGCUGGAACAACCUAUGUAUUAUCAUCACCACCAAAACAAUGGGGUUGCUGCAGGCAGAGUGGUAGCACAGUGCCCAAGCAGAGAAAAGAGCCCCAUAGAAAGCGUGCAGAGAAGUGAAUGUGAAUAGUGUAAGUCAAGGGGUCCCACAGAGCAUUAAUGCACGCUGGGGUUGCUGUGCCAGGGCUCCACUCAGUGAGCUGCAUCUUCUGGCAAAGUGACGGGGAAGCGUCAGGGCUGGCCAGAAAGCCAAGCUGCUCACUCAUUUUCCUCAUGUGAAGGAGAGGAGGAGCUUCAAGCACACAUACAUAAGAACUGCUUCCACAAAAAAAAAAAAAAAAAAAAAAAAAAAAGGUGCUUCUUCACGUAAUGUCUUUUCUGAGCACAGUGAAGAAGGUCCCAAAGUUCAUCUGCCCAUAGAUUUCCUUGAAUGGGAAGCAACACGUGGAAAGUGGAUGUCUUCUUCCCAGAAUACACUCCGGAGUUGAAUACUGACCCAUAGUCCUGCUUUUAACCUUGAACAGAAAAUAAAGAAACCGUCAGCUUGGGAAAGCUUACAGAAAGAAAUGUUUCUUCUAAAAUAUUUCUAAACAGUCUGGACUUUGUAACCUUGUCUUGAUGAGAGUCUAUUCUUCCUCCAACAGAGAUCAGUUCUAUCGUGGCAAAGUAGUCCCUGGGUACUCGCUGAUCAUUAGUAGUAGUAAAGUCAGUGCAAAUGGAUACUCUUCAGGUGAACGAAAGAAUAAGAAAAUAAUACAUUUUAAUUCUAUGUCUGAAAGUUAUGUGUACAUGUAGAAGCCGUACGGAGAACAUCAGCGGUGGACACAUGCCAGGAAGAGCAUAGACUGAUUAUAAAGAAUUCAACACACACAUGCUUGCCAGUCUGUGUGGGUUCUCAGGUGUUUAAAAACUUAAUUUUCAUUCAAGGUGGUGGUGCUGCUGUUGGGAUUUGAGUUUAGUGAUUCAGCUUUUUAAAGCACAGCCCAUCUUUCACAUACUUCUUUCCUAGGAAGCUGCAAAAGGGAAACAGAGCAGUGGGGAGAAAGCUGUAAGAGAACAGGACCUAUGAUCUCCUUCACACUAUAUGAAACAUUGCCCUCAACAUUGCUUAUAAAAGGUUCCUGAGAAGCUUGAAGGAAUGCAACAAAUGUCUGGCAAAAUAUGCAGAGAUAUCUGCAAGAUUCAGGCCAAGCACUGAACCAUUCCUUCUUGCAGCAUUGCUGCCCUUUCUGUUAGUUUACUUGAUAUAGCCAUUAUUCUCUGGAGGGUCAAAGCAAUGUAAAGGCCAUUUAGUCUGCCUAUAAUGUAUGGGAAGCCCUGAGUAGGAAAUCUGCCACAUAGGUUUGUACAGCACCUCUCCCUCAGUUCCAGAAACUGUACAGCACAGUGUUACAGACCUGUGAAGUAUGCUUGAUCCUGUCUACCCCUCAUCCGCCACCAAUACGAGCGCUGCAGAUCCAUCCAAUUUGGAAACAUGAGUUCAAAAGCCUUUCCACUCUUUGUAUGCUGACUUCUAUGCAGCUGCUAAGCUUGUGCUUGAUAUGUUUAUGUUAAGGGUUUGGUGCAAGCAGGGCUUAUUUUGUAUAGCUGUCUGAAAACGUCCCACCCACCCCUUUUUAAAAAUGGGCAAAUGACCAAAUAUUUCUGUAAACCUUUUAAAAUCCUAUAGUCUACAGAAGACGUUUAGUGUUCUAAACUAAAAAUGAACAUUUUUAGGGAAAGCAGACGUUUUCCUGGCGGAAAAAAAAAAUGUUAUAUUGUUAAAAAAUGAU
ensembl:lncRNA